UACGGGGGGGGCAAGCGUUGUUCGGAAUUACUGGGCGUAAAGGGCUUGUAGGUGGCCAACUAAGUCAGACGUGAAAUCCCUCAGCUUAACUGGGGAACUGCGUCUGAUACUGGAUGGCUUGAGUUUGGGAGAGGGAUGCGGAAUUCCCGGUGUAGAGGUGAAAUUCGUAGAUAUCGGGAGGAACACCGGUGGCGAAGGCGGCGACCUGGGUAGAUACUGACGCUGAGGUGCGAAAGCGUGGGGAGCAAACAGG
rnacentral:rRNA from 1 species